UACGGAGGGAGCUAGCGUUGUUCGGAAUUAUUGGGCGUAAAGCGCGCGCAGGCGGUCCUUUAAGUCUGAUGUGAAAGCCCACGGCUCAACCGUGGAGGGUCAUUGGAAACUGGGGGACUUGAGUGCAGAAGAGGAAAGCGGAAUUCCACGUGUAGCGGUGAAAUGCGUAGAGAUGUGGAGGAACACCAGUGGCGAAGGCGCUUCUGGUCUGUAACCGACGCUGAGGCGCGAAAGCGUGGGGAGCAAACAGG
rnacentral:rRNA from 1 species